GAUGAACGCUGGCGGCGUGCUUAACACAUGCAAGUCGAACGAAGCAUUUGCGACAGAUUUUUUCGGAAUGAAGUUGCUUAUGACUGAGUGGCGGACGGGUGAGUAACGCGUGGGUAACCUGCCUUGUACUGGGGGAUAGCAGCUGGAAACGGCUGGUAAUACCGCAUAAGCGGACAAUGUUGCAUGACAUGGUUUGAAAAACUUGGGAGAUAUAAGAUGGAGCCGCGUUGGAUUAGCGAGAUGGUGAUAUAACAGCCCACAAAUGCGACGAUCAAUAGCCGGCAGGAGAGUAUGAGCAGCAACAGUGGGACUGAGACACGGCCCAGACUCCUACGGGAGGCAGCAGUGGGGAAUAUUGGACAAUGGGCGAAAGCCUGAUCCAGCAAUGCCGAGUGAGUGAAGAAGGCCUUAGGGUUGUAAAGCUCGUUUACCCGAGAUGAUAAUGACAGUAGCGGGAGAAUAAGCUCCGGCUAACUCCGUG
rnacentral:rRNA from 1 species